UCAGACAUGCACUGAACUCUUGGAGUUCUCAAAAAACAAAAAAACGCACGUUCUCUGCCGCAAAAUGAACACGAUACAUCCUGCCUGCUGCACCGCACCUCGCCUGCAGGCUCCACAGAUUUCUGUGUUGAGAAUGUGUCUCAGUGAGAAUCACCUGCUGCAUUGUUCACGUGUGAAAGAGAAACUGUCAGGAGCCAAUUCUGCUGACUUCCUCCAGAGGUCAUGUCUGAAAACAGCUUUGGUCUUUGUUAGCUGGUGUAUUCAGUUUGCUCUGGUUCACUCCAGCUUCACUUUUUGUAUCACCUGUGUUUCCUAACCUUCCAGCCUCCUGAAUGAUGCAGCUCUUAUAUCAAUCUGAGAUGGUCCAGUGUCUAACCUCCAGGAGGAACCGUGGGCUCUCCGGCAUGAAGACGACUCCGAUGAGAGCAGCGAGCACGGGGAGGAGGCACACCAGGAUAAACAUCCUCCAGGUGUGCAUCUGGAUCUCUGUACCGAUGGCAAAGCCCCAACCUGAAAACCAAACAUCCAUGAGGGAUGAUUCCCCAGGCAGUGAAGGAGGCGUAAAGGCCUCCCAGCAUCCAGAACAUGCAGAGCCAGCUCAGAUGUUCUCCACGUU